rnacentral:rRNA from 1 species
GAUCCUGGCUCGGGAUGAACGCUAGCUACAGGCUUAACACAUGCAAGUCGAGGGGCAGCGGGAUUGAAGCUUGCUUCAAUUGCCGGCGACCGGCGCACGGGUGAGUAACGCGUAUCCAACCUUCCGUACACUCAGGGAUAGCCUUUCGAAAGAAAGAUUAAUACCUGAUGGUAUGAUGAGAUUGCAUGAUAUCAUCAUUAAAGAUUUAUCGGUNUACGAUGGGAUGCG